AAAGCGAACGCUGGCGGCAGGCCUAACACAUGCAAGUCGAGCGCCCGUAGCAAUACGGGAGCGGCAGACGGGAUAGUAACACGUGGGAACGCGCCCUUCGGUUCGGAAUAACUCAGGGAAACUUGAGCUAAAUACCGAAUACGCCCUUACGGGGAAAGAUUUAUUGCCGAAGGAACGGCCCGCGUCCGAUUAGCUAGUUGGUGAGGUAAUGGCUCACCAAGGCUACGAUCGGUAGCUGGUCUGAGAGGAUGACCAGCAUCACUGGGACUGAGACACGGCCCAGACUCCUACGGGAGGCAGCAGUGGGGAAUAUUGGACAAUGGGCGCAAGCCUGAUCCAGCCAUGCCGCGUGGAUGAUGAAGGCCUUAGGGUUGUAAAGUCCUUUUAACGGGGAAGAUAAUGACGGUACCCGUAGAAUAAGCCCCGGCUAACUUCGCGCCAGCAGCCGC
rnacentral:rRNA from 1 species